CGGUGAUCCACAUGAAAAUUGAACCAAAGACAGCGCUCCUCCUUCACUUUGCUUCAAGAGUUUCAGUCCCUAGAACUCGACUAGCCUCGUAUCGAUCAGAUUUCUUCAAGAACCUAACUCCACCCUCUAAGAUCCUCCUUUAAAUUUUUGAUUUCUCUUCUUUAGGACUCUCACAAUCUUUGUUUGGACCAGAUAAUGCUUUGUCUUAAAUCUCAAAGCCUUGUCCUAAAACCAAGAUAGGUUGUAAGAAAGAAAAGAGAGCAACAGAGAUAAAAUUGAAAACUCGAUCUGAAUGCUUCGGACAUCCUACACCCAGGUCAAUUUAUAGCCACC
rnacentral:lncRNA from 1 species